GUACCAUAUCUCUCUGGGUUGCAAGUCAAGGUUUACAAAUAUACAAAUUGAAAUAUUUCAACAUGAGAGAAGAGAGCCUGGAAGAAGUUGCCAGCCCUGUCACUUCCCUGAACGGCAAAUGUGGUCUCUCACUUCCUUAAUCCACAUUCAUUCCUGGGGCCCUCUUGUCUCUUAUAUCACUGUCCGUGCAGUUGGAAUAGGAGAAUAGUGGCUGGAGUCCCUGGUGAGAGAGAUGACUGUGUUCUGCGGUACAACAGAAUAUUACUAGGGCUGAUGAAGUGGUCUUUUGAUAAGGUCUUGCCUCUGAUCACACUAACUCUGACUUCAAGCCAGCAGCAGUCAUGAUAUGCCUAGAGGAUGGAAUCUUGCCAACAAUUUCACUGAUGGGGUUGCAUCGCACCAUCUUUCUAAACCCGUCAGUGUGAACAAUGGAAAAUACAUAUUUCGGUAUGUAUGACCUGCUAUGGGGGUCAUGAAAUUGUAUGUUUUAUUACCAACCCUGGAUGUUACUUCACAAAAUGCGCUGAGAGAAAGGGCAGUGAAGUUGAGUAGCUGACUGCACACCAUGUCUUGGCACAGGGCUGGAUCCUAAGUUCCAGAGAAAGAGCUAAGAACAAUUCCAACCAUCACACUAGCUUAGGAAACCCAGUGACUUUCUGAUCCUGUCUCUUGGGGCACUUGUUAAAAUGAAAGUGACAGAGUGGAACUUCUUGAGUUGUUAUGACCUUGGGUAACUGUACUUAUACGCAAAGACAGACUUGAUUAAGGGUUAAAACCUUACCAGAGCUUACUGG
rnacentral:lncRNA from 1 species